UUGAUUUAAAUUAUUGUGGGUCUACAUUUUAAAAAUUGAACCAACACAAAGUGGUGAAACAUACAUUAAUUUUAUUCAA
rnacentral:pre_miRNA from 1 species